rnacentral:rRNA from 1 species
UGGGGAAUUUUGGACAAUGGCGAAAGCCUGAUCCAGCAAUGCCGCGUGUGUGAAGAAGGCCUUCGGGUUGUAAAGCACUUUUGUCCGGAAAGAAAUGGCUCUGGUUAAUACCUGGGGUCGAUGACGGUACCGGAAGAAUAAGGACCGGCUAACUACGUGCCAGCAGCCGCGGUAAUACGUAGGGUCCAAGCGUUAAUCGGAAUUACUGGGCGUAAAGCGUGCGCAGGCGGUUGUGCAAGACCGAUGUGAAAUCCCCGAGCUUAACUUGGGAAUUGCAUUGGUGACUGCACGGCUAGAGUGUGUCAGAGGGGAGUAGAAUUCCACGUGUAGCAGUGAAAUGCGUAGAGAUGUGGAGGAAUACCGAUGGCGAAGGCAGCCCCCUGGGAUAACACUGACGCUCAUGGCACGAAAGCGUGGGGAGCAAACAGGAUUAGAUACCCUGGUAGUCCACGCCCUAAACGGAUGUCAACUAGUUGUU